AGAGGCAGAACAGGAUUUAAUCUCCUUCCUCUCACCUAAUCCUUCAAAAACUAAAUCCGCAAUAAAUGCUUUUGAUGAUCUUGAAGCGCUUGAUCUUGAACUGCCUGCC